rnacentral:rRNA from 1 species
AUUGAACGCUGGCGGCAUGCUUUACACAUGCAAGUCGAACGGUAACAGCACUUCGGUGGCUGACGAGUGGCGAACGGGUGAGUAAUACAUCGGAACGUGCCUAGUAGUGGGGGAUAACUACUCGAAAGAGUAGCUAAUACCGCAUGAGAUCUAAGGAUGAAAGCAGGGGACCUUCGGGCCUUGCGCUACUAGAGCGGCUGAUGGCAGAUUAGGUAUUUGGUGGGAUACAAGCUUACCAAGCCGACGAUCUGUAGCUGGUCUGAGAGGACGACCAGCCACACUGGGACUGGGACACGGCCCAGACUCCUACGGGAGGCAGCAGUGGGGAAUGUUGGACAAUGGGCGCAAGCCUGAUCCAGCAAUGCCGCGUGCAGGAUGAAGGCCUUCGGGUUGUAAACUGCUUUUGUACGGAACGAAAAGCCCUCUUCUAAUACAGGAGGGUCAUGACGGUACCGUAAGAAUAAGCACCGGCUAACUACGUG